rnacentral:lncRNA from 1 species
UAAUAUCUACACCCGAAUUGCUGCUGCUGCCGAUUACAAAACCUUUGCUACUUCGUUCUGGCUUUGCCGCUUUACUGCCGCCUGCCUUCUUUCUUUGCUUCCUUCUGGCUUCUCGAUCUAGCAGCCAUCGCUGCUUCCUUCCAGUUUGAAAGCGUCUCCAGUCCACGGUUGCUGCCGCUGCCGUUUCCUUCUGACUUCAAAAUCCAGCUGCCACUACUGCCGUGGUGCAUGGUGGUGGUGAGAGAGGAAGCUCAGGGGAUCAAUUUAGAUAGCGGAAAGACGGAGGAGAAGGUUGUUGACUCUGCUAUGGUCACUGGUCACCGAGCACUCUAAGCCCUUCACCGUGUAUUGCAGCCUACAAUUUGCAGGUAAUCUAAGCCCCUCACCGAGUGACUGUGCUGACUCUAAUGCUUUUCUUUUAUUCUAUUUUUGUUGCCGACUUGCCGUAAAAUUACUUUCUGUUGCAUGUUUUGGACCCUCGAGAUGUUAGUUUGAAGCAUUCCUUUUAUCAAUUUCUUAUUAAAAUUAUGAAAUUGAACUAUGUUCUCAAGUUGUUGUAGAAAUGUGUCACUGCCAAGCUGGGUUAGAAUAUUUCUCUUUAUUUGCAAUAAACGGAAUCUCACAUAAUUUUGAAUUUUGCAACCCACAUUUCAAAUAAAUAAACAAUAGGAUUCAGAAUAUUGGGACAACCUUGGAAACUUGUUGCUAAUUGAUUUGAAGAAUAUUAACAUUUAGAAGAAUAUUAGAAUUUUGUAUUUUAUUGAACUUUUGAUUAAUCAAGUUAAAAUUUUAUUUUUAGAAUAUUGGAGUUCAUUCUAUUAAUACAUCAAAAUCUAAUUCACUGAGAAAUAUGAUUUUAUUUUUGGGUUUGUACACACUUGUUACACAAAUUUGAGCUCCAUUAUGCGCGGAGAAUAUAUACAAUCUACUUGCUGUUUUUUAUGUAUAUUUUUUGUUCGCAGACAAAGUGUGUAUGAUUUUGUUCUGUGCAUUCAAUAAAAAUAAAAAUAGUGAAAAAAUAAAUAUAUGUUUUUGCAGAGAGUAGAUUCCCCCAGCUUUAAUUGAUUCAUAUAUUAUCUUGAAUAAUUUUUAGUUCUUCCUGUUGGCCCUUUUGGUUUUGCCUGCACAAGAUCAUAAUGCUAUGAAAUCUGCAAUAUCUACUUGGUAUGAUUAUGUUCCGUUAAAAUUUUAUUAUAUUUUCCAUUAAAAAUUAUGUUUACUUAUUUCAAUUUGAUAUAUUAUUUUUAUAGUUAUAUUUAUGUUUAUUUAUUUCUAUUUUACUUGUGUAGAUUUAAGUCGUUUAUCUGAACCAUUAAGCGAACCGAAAUCGAACCGUUAAGGUGAACCAACACUAAACUAAAACUGAAUCGAACCGAAUUUGUCAGUUGUGGUUUGGUUUUCAUUUUUCGUAAAUGUCUUAUCGG